rnacentral:rRNA from 1 species
ACAGCAGCAGCCACGGUAAUACGGAGGGUGCAAGCGUUAAUCGGAAUUACUGGGCGUAAAGCGCACGCAGGCGGUCUGACAAGUCAGAUGUGAAAUCCCCGGGCUUAACCUGGGAACUGCAUUUGAAACUGUCAGGCUUGAGUCUUGUAGAGGGGGGUGGAAUUCCAGGUGUAGCGGUGAAAUGCGUAGAGAUCUGGAGGAAUACCGGUGGCGAAGGCGGCCCCCUGGACAAAGACUGACGCUCAGGUGCGAAAGCGUGGGGAGCAAACAGGAUUAGAUACCCGCGUAGUCCCUGUCUCUUAUAC